rnacentral:rRNA from 1 species
GUCUAUGGCCAUGCCACCCUGAACAAGCCCGAUCCUGUCUGAUCUCGGAAGCUUAGCAGGGUCGGGCCUGGUUAGUAUUUGGAUGGGAGACCACCUAGGAAGACCAGGUGCUGUAGGUG